rnacentral:tRNA from 1 species
GACACGAUGGCCGAGUUGGUUAAGGCGUCAGACUAGAAAUCUGAUGGGAUUUUCCCGCGUAGGUUCAAAUCCUGCUUGUGUCG